GUUAUGUAACUUUGGUUUGCAUUGGAAUAUUUGGAUAUAUAAUCUAGAUGAUGCUAAUAUUUGCAGAGAUUGUUCACUGUUGAAGAAUUGGCUUUGUAUAAUGGGACUGAUCAAAGUUUGCCAGUCUUGUUAGGAAUUGGGGUCGGUUUUUGAUGUGGUGAAGGGAAAGUCUCAUUACAGUGAGGGUGGGGGUUAUAAUCAUUUUUCUGGAAGGGUAUCACUCUCUUUGCAUCUGUUGCUGCAACUCUUGGACUAAAAUAUUGCUCGAGUCUGCUUGAGAACUGAUCUCAAAGGAGUAGUUUAGAGAGAAGCACAGAAAUAUUGCCUCAACAAAUCAGUCUCUGCUGAGGAAUAUGACAAGAAAUUGCUAAUGGAACCUGAGGACCAGCGAGAACUUAGGGCUGUAAAAGAUCGAAUAUUCCAUGAAUUGCUUGGGGAAGAUGGUCAUGGUUAUUGUCGUACCUAUGGUUCUACCGUGCCUCGUAGUUUGGUGUAUCCACAGGAAUCAAUGCCUUCUCAUAACACCAAUGACCUCAUACAGAAAAUAACUGAAGAGGUUACAGAGAAAGUGAAAGAGGCUUUCACAAGGAAGAUGCAGGACCAAUUAGAUAUGCUUCAAGCUCGGAUUAACUUUUUAGAGAGCAAUGAUGGGCAAAACAGAAAUCCAUGUGGACAGGUUCAAGAUGCAACCAGUGGCCAUGAAGUUAGAAGGGAGUCCAUAGGAGAAGGAGUUCAUCCACAUUCAACUAGUAAUCAAGAAAUUGAGCAUGCUCCAGUACUUACCAAGCCCCUCUAGUAUUGUGGUCAAGGAUGCUUUUGAACAAUAUUAAGUUUGGCAAUGUUUCCUUUUAGUUAUCUAGUAUGGUAGGACCUUAUAAUUAUGAAAUGUGGUUGGUUUGGUUUGUACUUGGUAAUGUUUUUUUUUUUUCUUUUUUUUUUAAAAAA